rfam:Angiostrongylus costaricensis strain Costa Rica genome assembly, scaffold: ACOC_contig0000219
GCCCGGUUAGCCCAGUCGGUCGAGCACCAGACUCUUAAUCUUGCUGUCACGGGGUCGAGCCCCGCAUCGGGCC